ACAGAUCACUUUAGCCGUUUGUGUUGACAGUGACACCGCUCUUUGGGCACAGUAUUACUAAAAAUUGCCAGUGAGUGGCUAGGGUGGGCCACUCACUGGCAAUUUUUAGUUAGCCGACUAUCGAACAACUAAGGGGCCUAAUUGUCUAACGGACUUCAUUGAUCGUAAAGUUCAUACGAUCGGCUACGAUCAACGAUCAAUCGUAACUUUACAUUGGUAUUGUCUAAUUUAGUUCAUUAUAUGAAGACCGGAUGGUGAACGAUGAACUGAAAUCAUUCAUGAAGAUUGCGUAUUGUUUAUGCAAAACGAUAGUGAAACUAUCGUUAAUAAUAUUAUCAAAUUUAAGUCAAACUCCAUAAUAAUGCAUAUAUUUUAACAAAGUUUUAUGUCUUUUGUUUAAAACAUUAAAGAAGCAUUAAAUUUCACGACAAAUAUCUACUAUUGAAGACAAUAGCGUGAGAAAAUGGUACAUGCAACUCAAGUAACAAAACGCAAUUAACGAAUUUAACCAAGGGCUAUUUGGACUAUUUGGUAAUCUCUCUGUUGUCUGUGUAGGCUAGUGUCAAAAUAACGGGGUAUCCUAUUAGUCUGUGGUGAAACAUAGCAUAUUAAUAACCUGUGGAUUAGAAAUUUAAAUUUUAUAAACAAAACAAAAUUUUUAUUUUUCAGGUUUUAAAGAGAAUUUAGAAAUUGAGCAAAGUUUUACUAAAUUAUAGUGAUCUUAGGAGCAAAGUUUACUUCGUUUGUGUUAUUGUUAAUCAAAAAUAUAAAAGUAAACAAAAAAGAAAAACUACCUCUAUCUAAUUUUGUCGAUGUCCAUUUCUUAAGAAGUUUCUCAUUAAAACAACCCUUAACUCAGGCAAGGCAGGGCUAAGGUGGUUAGCGUAACUACAAGUGGUUAACUUACAGUUAGCCAACUGAAGAACAAUCAACAAUGCCCGAUUAAUAAGUGAUCGCGCUGCUUGUCUACUACAUGUCCCUGCACUAGUUAUAGCAGUAAUUUCUUUGUUUGGAAGUAUUUAGCACAUCCGGGCUGCGCAAAAGGAGAGAACUAAAUUGAUUAUUAUGAACAGACCAUUAUGAUGAACCACUGAUAUUGACUCAGAGACAUGAAGAUGAGUGCUUUGACAACAAGACUGACUAGCUGAGCCAGCUUAAGAAUUAUGUGGUGUGUGUGUGUGUGUAAUCCCAGGAGCUGUCUAUGUCAGCCAUCCAUCUAUAUUCUUACUCAUUUUUGUUAAUUAUAAAAUAAAUUUGAUUAUUUAGUGUGUAACUUCAUUGUACCUAUCCUGCUAGCUGUUAGAAAGAUAGCAUCUGUAAUAAUUUAUUUACGGUAAAACAUAUUUAAAAAUAAACAUGCUUUAACAUUUAAGUAUGGCCAAUAUGUUGUCAAGUACAGUGGGCAGGGCUGAAUCCAUGAUUGAUGACUGAUCCAUGAUGAUGACUCGUUUUUCUGAUUUAAGAAAAUAUACUAAUCAUCAAAACAGUGUCUGCAAGUACUGUACAGGCUGACUGUUUGGAUGAGAAGUAUAUAGUUGAUUAUUUUUAAUCUUUGUGGUUUCAGGGUUUAAAAAAUGUCUAACUGAAAGUCUAUGUUUACUGUAUUUAUUAUUAUUAUAAUAAAUAAACUUAAAAAAUC